rnacentral:rRNA from 1 species
CGAGGGUGCAAGCGUUAAUCGGAAUUACUGGGCGUAAAGCGAGUGUAGGCGGCUAUUUAAGUCGGAUGUGAAAGCCCCGGGCUCAACCUGGGAAUUGCAUUCGAAACUGAAUAGCUAGAGUUUGGUAGAGGUAAGUGGAAUUCCGGGUGUAGCGGUGAAAUGCGUAGAUAUCCGGAGGAACAUCAGUGGCGAAGGCGGCUUACUGGACCAAAACUGACGCUGAGGCUCGAAAGCGUGGGGAGCAAACAGGAUUAGAUACCCGAGUAGUCC